rnacentral:rRNA from 1 species
CCUACGGGAGGCUGCAGUCGGGAAUAUUGCGCAAUGGACGCAAGCCUGACCCAGCAACGCCGCGUGAAGGAAGAAGGCUUUCGGGUUGUAAACUGCUUUUCUCAGGGACGAAAAAAGUGACGGUACCUGAGGAAUGAGCCGCGGCUAACUACGUGCCAGCAGCCGCGGUAAUACGUAGGUGGCAAGCGUUAUCCGGAUUUACUGGGUGUAAAGUGCGUGUAGGCGGGACUGCAAGUCAGAUGUGAAAACCAUGGGCUUAACCUGUGGCCUGCAUUUGAAACUGUUGUUCUUGAGUACUGGAGAGGAAGGCGGAAUUCCUAGUGUAGCGGUGAAAUGCGUAGAUAUUAGGAGGAACACCAGUGGCGAAGGCGGUCUGCUGGACAGCAACUGACGCUGAGGCGCGAAAGUGUGGGGAGCAAACAGGAUUAGAUACCCGUGUAGUC